rnacentral:rRNA from 1 species
ACGGGUGAGUAACACGUGGGAACGUACCCUUUGGUUCGGAAUAACGCUGGGAAACUAGCGCUAAUACCGGAUACGCCCUUUUGGGGAAAGGCUCGCUGCCGAAGGAUCGGCCCGCGUCUGAUUAGCUAGUUGGUGGGGUAAUGGCCUACCAAGGCGACGAUCAGUAGCUGGUCUGAGAGGAUGAUCAGCCACACUGGGACUGAGACACGGCCCAGACUCCUACGGGAGGCAGCAGUGGGGAAUAUUGGACAAUGGGCGCAAGCCUGAUCCAGCCAUGCCGCGUGAGUGAUGAAGGCCUUAGGGUUGUAAAGCUCUUUUGUCCGGGACGAUAAUGACGGUACCGGAAGAAUAAGCCCCGGCUAACUUCGUGCCAGCAGCCGCGGUAAUACGAAGGGGGCUAGCGUUGCUCGGAAUCACUGGGCGUAAAGGGCGCGUAGGCGGCCAUUCAAGUCGGGGGUGAAAGCCUGUGGCUCAACCACAGAAUUGCCUUCGAUACUGUUUGGCUUGAGUCUGGUAGAGGUUGGUGGAACUGCGAGU